UCCCUGGUGGUCCAGUGGUAAAGACUCAGUGCUUUCACUGCCACAGGCCCAGGUUCAAUCCCUGGUCAGAGAA
rnacentral:tRNA from 1 species